rfam:Myotis lucifugus cont2.22086, whole genome shotgun sequence.
GAGACACCCUUCUGGGGCAAGACUUGCUUCAGUGGGGCUUUGGUGCUCACUGAGUCUGCCCCCUGAGUGCGUCCCU